rnacentral:rRNA from 1 species
GACAGCAGUAGCCACGGUAAUACGAAGGGGGCUAGCGUUGUUCGGAAUUACUGGGCGUAAAGCGCACGUAGGCGGAUAUUUAAGUCAGGGGUGAAAUCCCAGAGCCCAACUCUGGAACUGCCUUUGAUACUGGGUAUCUUGAGUAUGGAAGAGGUGAGUGGAAUUCCGAGUGUAGAGGUGAAAUUCGUAGAUAUUCGGAGGAACACCAGUGGCGAAGGCGGCUCACUGGUCCAUUACUGACGCUGAGGUGCGAAAGCGUGGGGAGCAAACAGGAUUAGAUACCCCUGUAGUCCCUGUCUCUUAUAC